rnacentral:rRNA from 1 species
CCAAUAGCGUAUAUUAAAGUUGUUGCAGUUAAAAAGCUCGUCGUUGAAUUUCGGAAUCAGUACGCCGGUCGUGCCUCCGGUAUGUACUGGUGUCACUGAUUCCUCCCUUCUGAAGAACCAUCAUGCCAUUAACUUGGUGUGGUGGGAAAUCAGGACUGUUACUUUGAAAAAAUUAGAGUGUUUAAAGCAGGCUCACGCUUGAAUACAUUAGCAUGGAAUAAUGAAAUAGGACGUUGAUCUUAUUUUGUUGGUUUCUAGGAUUGACGUAAUGAUUAAUAGGGAUAGUUGGGGGCAUUAGUAUUCAAUUGUCAGAGGUGAAAUUCUUGGAUUUAUUGAAGACUAACUACUGCGAAAGCAUUUGCCAAGGAUGUUUUCAUUAAUCAAGAACGAAAGUUAGGGGAUCGAAGACGAUCAGAUACCGUCGUAGUCUUAACCAUAAACUAUGCCGACUAGGGAUCGGAUGAUGUUAUUUUUAAUGACUCAUUCGGCGCCUUACG